rnacentral:rRNA from 1 species
GAUGAACGCUGGCGGCGUGCCUAAUACAUGCAAGUCGAGCGAACGGACGAGAAGCUUGCUUCUCUGAUGUUAGCGGCGGACGGGUGAGUAACACGUGGAUAACCUACCUAUAAGACUGGGAUAACUUCGGGAAACCGGAGCUAAUACCGGAUAAUAUUUUGAACCGCAUGGUUCAAAAGUAAAAGACGGUCUUGCUGUCACUUAUAGAUGGAUCCGCGCUGCAUUAGCUAGUUGGUAAGGUAACGGCUUACCAAGGCAACGAUGCAUAGCCGACCUGAGAGGGUGAUCGGCCACACUGGAACUGAGACACGGUCCAGACUCAUACGGGAGGCAGCAGUAGGGAAUCUUCCGCAAUGGGCGAAAGCCUGACGGAGCAACGCCGCGUGAGUGAUGAAGGUCUUCGGAUCGUAAAACUCUGUUAUUAGGGAAGAACAUAUGUGUAAGUAACUGUGCACAUCUUGACGGUACCUAAUCAGAAAGCCACGGCUAACUACGUG